CUCAUUUGUGCAUGCUAGGUAGCAAUAAAGUUCGAGCAUAGAAGCAGUAAAGGCUGAAAUUAUGGACCACCUUAUGAGUGGCAAGUAUACAAGUGAUGGAUAUGUUGGGAGUCUAUGGGAUGUUUGGUAUGGGAUGUUUGGAAUAAUAACUCCUAUGCAAUGUCAACAGAAAUGGUUGCUUGUAUUGCUAUUGAAGCAAUCUCUAUUUUAGAGAAGAUGCAUUCUAAAGGGUAGGCCUGCUCUUUACGCUAUGAAGAUGCAGAAUCUCAAUUUAUGUAAAAGUUUGUAAACAAUUUAUGUAUCUCUCUACUAUUUUGGUGAAUGUAUUAUUUGAAUAUAA